rnacentral:rRNA from 1 species
AGCAGUAGCCGCGGGAAUACGUAGGUGGCAAGCGUUGUCCGGAAUUAUUGGGCGUAAAGCGCGCGCAGGCGGUUUCUUAAGUCUGAUGUGAAAGCCCCCGGCUUAACCGGGGAGGGUCAUUGGAAACUGGGAAACUUGAGUGCAGAAGAGGAGAGUGGAAUUCCACGUGUAGCGGUGAAAUGCGUAGAGAUGUGGGGGAACACCAGUGGCGAAGGCGACUCUCUGGUCUGUAACUGACGCUGAGGAGCGAAAGCGUGGGGAGCGAACAGGAUUAGAUACCCCAGUAGUCCCUGUCUCUUAUAC